CAAUACACCCCUGUCUUUGGCCUCAGCUGGAGCUACUUUCACCAGUAUUGUGUCUCCGACACACACUGUGGUGUUUCCUCCAAUAAAUGCAUCCCCAGGAAACAGUGGCAGCUUAACUGUUACUCAAAGUUUAGGAGAUGCAGUUGUAAUUACCGCUGUACCAAGUGUGCCCUCCAACAUAGUUCAGUCUCCGCCGUCAAGCACCACUGUACUUUCUUCUGUUUGCCUGGACCAGCAGGGCCUAAUUCAGCAGAUGGGUAUGGCCACAGCCCAGUCAUCACUUCAGCCUCAGCCUCCACCUGCUAUACAACAGCAUGUGCCGAUAGUGCAACAACAAAUUCCAAUUCCACCUGUUCAUCAAGCUGCAGCAGUCACACCUGUGCAGCCGGUUCACCUAGUACAGCCAGUGCAGUCAGUCGCACCGGCGCAGCAGAACUUGACCCCACUACCACAGCGGCAACAGACUCACAUGGGCCCAGACAAGCUUCAGCUCCAGCAGCCUGUGCAGUUACAGCAGCAACAACAACAACAACAACAACUGAUGCAGCCAGUGCCAUUGCAAAUAGUUCCACAACAGCAGAAUGUGCCUCUGCAGACGUUUGUACCAACUUCCCCCUCCAACAGCAGGUCUUGGCUCCUACAGCAGGUGUCACCCAGACACUGAAUGAACAGUUACAUUUACAGCAGGUUCAACUACAGCAGCAGCUGUUGCAAGGCAAUGUGGCUUUAAAUCCAGACCCAGUGAUUCCUUUGUCCAUUAAUCAACAGUUUGUUCCACAGCCGUCACAGCUCAGUUUUAGCCCUGUCCCACUAGAGCAGAUUCAACCAUUGCAAUUUACUCAAGAAACUCAACAACAACAUGUGCUAUCCCAGAAUCUGCCUCAGCACUUUGAGCAACAGGAUACUGCCCAGAAACAGCAGCACUUUGCUGUGCAGAAACAGUCAUCCCUAAGUCAAAGGUCUGAGUCUGAGGUUUCCACAGAAGACGCAAGUGUGACGGAGGACUCUGGUGCUCCUCACCCUUCAUCGGAUUCAUCCCUUCCACCUCUCUGUCUAAACACAGGCGAAACUCUGCCUGCUCUGGCCCACGCAAUGACACCAUCUCCUGCGCAGCCUUCGUCUGUCGCUGAGUCUGACAGUGAAGGCCCUCCAAAAAUAGAAUUUGUGGACAAUCGUAUCAAGACCCUAGAUGAAAAAUUGCGUAAUUUGUUGUAUCAGGAAUAUACCAGUGGCACAGCGUUGACUGGGGGAUCUUUGUCAGCUCCUACAUCUGUGUCUGCUGGCUCUGCUGCAGGUGGAGACGAAUCAUCACAAGCACAAUCCAAGCACUCUGGGACGUGUGCUCCUGCCACCUGUUCCUCUGAUACCUCCCCACACUCCUCCACGUCUAGCACCUCCUCCACCACUCCCCGCUCCUCCUCCACCUCCCCUGAGCUGGAGAGGGGUGAAAGGGCUGAUGAAGGUUUUCGUAAGUCAUCUGAGGUUAUCCCAGUGGAGCAACACCCUGGCCCGUGUCUGCUCACAGGUGGGUGGAGUAGCCAAACUGUUUACUAA
ensembl:lncRNA